GACGGAGAGUCCAAGCGUUACCCGGAAUUACUGGGCGUAGAGGGUGCGUAGGCGGCCGAAUAAUUCGCGUGUGAAAAGCUGGCGCUCACCGCCAGCCCGGCAUGCGAAAAUGUCCGGCUAGAGGGUGCUAGAGGUGACUGGAAUUCCCGGUGUAGCGGUGAAAUGCUUUGAUAUCGGGAGGAACGCCGAAGGUGAAGACAGGUCACUGGGGCACUUCUGACGCUGAGGCAUGAAAGCUGGGGUAGCAAAUCGGAUUAGAUA
rnacentral:rRNA from 1 species